GACAGGUGUAACAGACAGACAGGUAUAACAGACAGACAGGUAUAACAGACAGACAGGUAUAACAGACAGGUAUAACAGACAGGUAUAACAGACAGACAGGUAUAACAGACAGCCAGGUGUAACAGACAGCCAGGUGUAACAGACAGCCAGGUGUAACAGACAGCCAGGUGUAACAGACAGACAGGUGUAACAGACAGACAGGUGUAACAGACAGACAGGUGUAACAGACAGCCAGGUGUAACAGACAGACAGGUGUAACAGACAGACAGGUAUAACAGACAGACAGGUAUAACAGACAGACAGGUAUAACAGACAGACAGGUAUAACAGACAGCCAGGUAUAACAGACAGACAGGUAUAACAGACAGACAGGUAUAACAGACAGACAGGUAUAACAGACAGACAGGUAUAACAGACAGACAGGUAUAACAGACAGACAGGUAUAACAGACAGACAGGUAUAACAGACAGCCAGGUGUAACAGACAGACAGGUAUAACAGACAGCCAGGUAUAACAGACAGCCAGGUAUAACAGACAGACAGGUAUAACAGACAGACAGGUAUAACAGACAGACAGGUAUAACAGACAGACAGGUGUAACAGACAGACAGGUAUAACAGACAGACAGGUAUAACAGACAGGUAUAACAGACAGCCAGGUAUAACAGACAGACAGGUAUAAC